AAACCAUACAAUUUCUUUCUCCCGCUGUAUUUCCUUAUGUUCCUAGGACAUUUUGCUACAGAGUUGCCUACCAGUUUAUGCACCAAAUUGUAAAUGAUUUGAAAAACAAAUUGCAACCUCAAACCAAAAUAGGUGAUUUAGAACAAUUCCAUAACAUUAUGACUUUCAGCCUAAAUUUGCCUUGCCUCUGCUGCAGUAAUAACUGUCAAAAUUGAAUGAAAUCCAAUACAUAUGGCCAUUUUAAUAAUGAGGCAGGACUAAUAAGUGAAUCUAUUCAAAGUAAUUUUUCUUAAAGGACCACUCUAGGCACCUAGACCACUUUAGCUUAAUGAAGUGGUCUGGGUGCCAGGUCCAGCUAGGGUUAACCCAUUUUUUUUUUAUA